GACGAACGCGGCGGCGUGCCUAAUACAUGCAAGUAGAACGCACAGUUUAUACCGUAGCUUGCUACACCAUAGACUUGAGUUGCGAACGGGUGAGUAACGCGUAGGUAACCUGCCUGGUAGCGGGGGAUAACUAUUGGAAACGAUAGCUAAUACCGCAUAAUAUUAAUUAUUGCAUGAUAAUUGAUUGAAAGAUGCAACUGCAUCACUACCAGAUGGACCUGCGUUGUAUUAGCUAGUAGGUGAGGUAACGGCUCACCUAGGCGACGAUACAUAGCCGACCUGAGAGGGUGAUCGGCCACACUGGGACUGAGACACGGCCCAGACUCCUACGGGAGGCAGCAGUAGGGAAUCUUCGGCAAUGGGGGGAACCCUGACCGAGCAACGCCGCGUGAGUGAAGAAGGUUUUCGGAU
rnacentral:rRNA from 1 species